CCUACGGGGGGCAGCAGUGAGGAAUAUUGGUCAAUGGGCGCGAGCCUGAACCAGCCAAGUAGCGUGAAGGAUGACUGCCCUACGGGUUGUAAACUUCUUUUAUAAAGGAAUAAAGUGCGGCAUGUGUGCCUUUUUGCAUGUACUUUAUGAAUAAGGAUCGGCUAACUCCGUGCCAGCAGCCGCGGUAAUACGGAGGAUCCGAGCGUUAUCCGGAUUUAUUGGGUUUAAAGGGCGCGUAGGUGGGUUGUUAAGUCAGUUGUGAAAGUUUGCGGCUCAACCGUAAAAUUGCAAUUGAUACUGGCAGCCUUGAGUACAGUUGAGGUAGGCGGAAUUCGUGGUGUAGCGGUGAAAUGCUUAGAUAUCACGAAGAACUCCGAUUGCGAAGGCAGCUUACUAGACUGCCACUGACAUUGAUGCUCGAAAGUGUGGGUAUCAAACAGGAUUAGAUACCCCAGUAGUC
rnacentral:rRNA from 1 species